rnacentral:tRNA from 1 species
CGGUCUGUGCCAGAGUGAU